rnacentral:rRNA from 1 species
AUUAGAUACCCUGGGUAGUCCAUGCCGUAAACGAUGAGUGCUAGGUGUUGGAGGGUUUCCGCCCUUCAGUGCCGGAGCUAACGCAUUAAGCACUCCGCCUGGGGAGUACGACCGCAAGGUUGAAACUCAAAGGAAUUGACGGGGGCCCGCACAAGCGGUGGAGCAUGUGGUUUAAUUCGAAGCUACGCGAAGAACCUUACCAGGUCUUGACAUCUUGCGCUAACCUUAGAGAUAAGGCGUUCCCUUCGGGGACGCAAUGACAGGUGGUGCAUGGUCGUCGUCAGCUCGUGUCGUGAGAUGUUGGGUUAAGUCCCGCAACGAGCGCAACCCUUGUUACUAGUUGCCAGCAUUAAGUUGGGCACUCUAGUGGGACUGCCGGUGACAAACCGGAGGAAGGUGGGGACGACGUCAGAUCAUCAUGCCCCUUAUGACCUGGGCUACACACGUGCUACAAUGGACGGUACAACGAGUCGCGAGCUCGCGAGAGUAAGCUAAUCUCUUAAAGCCGUUCUCAGUUCGGACUGUAGGCUGCAACUCGCCUACACGAAGUCGGAAUCGCUAGUAAUCGCGGAUCAGCAUGCCGCGGUGAAUACGUUCCCGGGCCUUGUACACACCGCCCGUCACACCAUGGGAGUUUGUAACGCCCAAAGUCGGUGGCCUAACCUUUAUGGAGGGAGCCGCCUAAGGCGGGACAGAUGACUGGGGUGAAGUCGUAACAAGGU